GUGUCAGCAGCCGCGGUAAUACGGAGGGUGCUAACGUUGUUCGGAAUUACUGGGCAUAAAGCGCGCGUAGGCGGUCUGCUAAGUCGGUUGUGAAAGCCCCCGGCUCAACCGGGGAAUUGCGUUCGAUACUGGCAGGCUCGAGGACGGUUGGGGUGAGUGGAACUCCAGGUGGAGCGGUGAAAUGCGUAGAUAUCUGGAGGAACACCGGUGGCGAAAGCGGCUCACUGGACCGUAACUGACGCUGAUGCGCGAAAGCUAGGGGAGCAAACGGGAUUAGAUACCCGUGUAGUCC
rnacentral:rRNA from 1 species